GAUGAACGCUGGCGGCGUGCCUAAUACAUGCAAGUCGAGCGAACAGACGAGGAGCUUGCUCCUCUGACGUUAGCGGCGGACGGGUGAGUAACACGUGGAUAACCUACCUAUCAGACUGGGAUAACUUCGGGAAACCGGAGCUAAUACCGGAUAAUAUAUUGAACCGCAUGGUUCAAUAGUGAAAGACGGUUUUGCUGUCACUUAUAGAUGGAUCCGCGCCGCAUUAGCUAGUUGGUAAGGUAACGGCUUACCAAGGCAACGAUGCGUAGCCGACCUGAGAGGGGGAUCGGCGACACUGGAACUGGAACACGGUCCAGACUCCUACGGGAGGCAGCAGUCGGGAAUCUGCCGCAAUGGGCGAAAGCCUGACGGAGCAACGCCGCGUGAGUGAUGAAGGUCUUCGGAUCGUAAAACUCUGUUAUUAGGGAAGGACAAAUGUGUAAGUAACUAUGCACGUCUUGACGGUACCUAAUCAGAAAGCCACGGCUAACUACGUG
rnacentral:rRNA from 1 species